AGUGAACGCUGGCGGUAGGCCUAACACAUGCAAGUCGAACGGCAGCACAGUAAGAGCUUGCUCUUACGGGUGGCGAGUGGCGGACGGGUGAGGAAUACACCGGAAUCUACUUUUUCGUGGGGGAUAACGUAGGGAAACUUACGCUAAUACCGCAUACGACCUACGGGUGAAAGCAGGGGAUCUUCGGACCUUGCGCGAUUGAAUGAGCCGAUGUCGGAUUAGCUAGUUGGCGGGGUAAAGGCCCACCAAGGCGACGAUCCGUAGCUGGUCUGAGAGGAUGAACAGCCACACUGGAACUGAGACACGGUCCAGAGUCCUACGGGAGGCAGAAGUGGGGAAUAUUGGACAAUGGGCGGAAGCCUGAUCCAGCCAUACCGCGUGGGUGAAGAAGGCCUUCGGGUUGUAAAGCCCUUUUGUUGGGAAAGAAAAGCAGCAGGUUAAUACCCCGCUGUUCUGACGGUACCCAAAGAAUAAGCACCGGCUAACUUCGUG
rnacentral:rRNA from 1 species